rnacentral:misc_RNA from 1 species
CACCGUCCAAGCUGCGGCUUGAUGUUGGGCGAGGCCGCGGUCCUGAAGAGGACGGCGGCGCGCCUGGAACGCGUGGGCGGCGGAGGGCAGACCGCGAGCGUAGCAAGACGCAAGUCACCGCUCGGACGGGCCUGCCGGACGUCAGCCGAAGACUUAGUUUGUAUACAA